AGGCCUAUUAAACAUCUUAAGUGGAGUUGCUGGUAAACACAUAUAUGAGUCCUAAGUCUGAAGUUCAGGAAUGAAGCCAGGAGCUGGAUAUGUAAAUUUGGGAAUCAUAAACUCAAAGAUGGAAUUUAAAAUUAUGAAACUGAAUGAGAUCCCAAGGGAUCUUCUCUACCUCUGUCAUUCCCUAGAGAAAAUGUCUGAGGCCUGGAGUGUUCCAUCACUUAGAAAUUAGGAAAAUGGAGAAAAAUUAGCAAAGGAGACUGUAGGAGUGACCAGGAAGGUAAGAGGACCAUGAAGGAAUUGUGUCUUGGCAGUCAAGUGACAAAAAGUGUUUUAGGAUAAAGAAAGUGAUCAACUGUGUUGGUAAAAUGAGGACAAAGAAAUGACCGUUGUAUUUGACCAUAGGCAAGUUACUAAUGACCUUAAAAAGAAUUAUUUUAAAGCCGGAUGCAGUGGCAAAUGCCUGUAAUCUCAGCUAUUCAGGAGGCAGGAGGAUAGGAUUGCAAGUUUGAGGCCAGCCUGGGCAAGUUAGCAAAACCCUGUCUCAAUAAAAAUAAACACAAAAACAAAGGAUGGUUUUGAUGGAUGGGGAUGAAAACCUGAUUGGAAUGGGUUCAAGGGAGAACAGAAGUAAAGACAGCAGAUACAAAUAACAAAAUAAAAUUCUUCCAAUGAAUUUUGUGUAUAGGAGCAGAGAAAUGGGGUAGUAGGCAGAAGUAGAUGUGAAAUCA
rnacentral:lncRNA from 1 species